GGGCGGUUAGCUCAGCUGGUUAGAGUACUUGCUUGACAUGCAAGGGGUCACUGGUUCAAUUCCAGUACCGCCCAC
rnacentral:tRNA from 1 species